UACGUAGGGUGCAAGCGUUUAUCGGAAUUUCUGGACGUAAAGCGUGCGCUGGCGGCUUUGCAAGACAGAUGUGAAAUCCCCGGGCUUAACCUGGGAACUGCAUUUGUGACUGCAUGGCUGGAGUGCGGCAGAGGGGGAUGGAAUUCCGCGUGUAGCAGUGAAAUGCGUAGAUAUGCGGAGGAACACCGAUGGCGAAGGCAAUCCCCUGGGCCUGCACUGACGCUCAUGCACGAAAGCGUGGGGAGCAAACAGG
rnacentral:rRNA from 1 species